UACGUAGGGUGCUAACGUUGUUCGGAAUCACUGGGCAUAAAGAGCGCGUAGGCGGUCUGAUAAGUCAGGUGUGAAAUCCCCCGGCUCAACCGGGGAACUGCACCUGAUACUGUUGGGCUUGAGUGCAGGAGGGGAGAGCGGAAUUCCUGGUGGAGCGGUGAGAUGCGUAGAGAUCGGGAGGAACAUCAGUGGCGAAGGCGGCCAUCUGGGACAACACUGACGCUGAAGCACGAAAGCGUGGGGAGCAAACAGG
rnacentral:rRNA from 1 species